UACGUAGGGUGCAGGCGUUAAUCGGAAUUACUGGGCGUAAAGCGUGCGCAGGCGGUUUGCUAAGACAGGUGUGAAAUCCCCGGGCUUAACCUGGGAACUGCGCUUGUUACUGGCAAGCUAGAGUGUGGCAGAGGGGGGUGGAAUUCCAGGUGUAGCAGUGAAAUGCGUAGAGAUCUGGAGGAACACCGAUGGCGAAGGCAGCCCCCUGGGCUAACACUGACGCUCAU
rnacentral:rRNA from 1 species